UUUCCGUAGGUGAACCUGCGGAAGGAUCAUUAUUGUAUAACCGAGGUGCGAGGGCUGUCGCUGACCCGAAAGGUCGUGCACGCCCGAGUGCCCUCACAAACAUCCAUCUCACCCCUAUGUGCACCACCGCGUGGGUCCCCCUUUGGCUUGUUCGGAGGGGGGCUUACGUUUUCACACAAACUUUGUAUGCAGUGUAGAAUGUAUUUUUUGUUUUUGCGAUCACGCAAUAAAUACAACUUUCAACAACGGAUCUCUUGGCUCUC
rnacentral:misc_RNA from 1 species